rnacentral:rRNA from 1 species
GUUGAUAAGGUUAAGUGAAUAAGGGCGCACGGUGGAUGCCUUGGCACUAGGAGCCGAUGAAGGACGGGACUAACACCGAUAUGCUUUGGGGAGCUGUAAGUAAGCUAUGAUCCAGAGAUUUCCGAAUGGGGGAACCCAAUAUCUUUUAUAGGAUAUUACUUUUCAGUGAAUACAUAGCUGAUUAGAGGUAGACGCAGAGAACUGAAACAUCUUAGUACCUGCAGGAAGAGAAAGAAAAUUCGAUUCCCUGAGUAGCGGCGAGCGAAACGGGAAGAGCCCAAACCAACAAGCUUGCUUGUUGGGGUUGUAGGACUCCAAUAUGGUAGUCUGUUAGUAUAGUUGAAGGAUUUGGAAAAUUCCGCUAAAGAGGGUGAAAGCCCCGUAGACGAAAUGCUAACAACACCUAGGAGGAUCCUGAGUACGGCGGAACACGAGAAAUUCCGUCGGAAUCCGCGGGGACCAUCCCGCAAGGCUAAAUACUCCCUAGUGACCGAUAGUGAACCAGUACCGUGAGGGAAAGGUGAAAAGCACCCCGGAAGGGGAGUGAAAUAGAUCCUGAAACCGUGUGCCUACAACAAGUCAAAGCUCGUUAAUGAGUGAUGGCGUGCCUUUUGUAGAAUGAACCGGCGAGUUACGAUUGCAUGCGAGGUUAAGUCGAAGAGACGGAGCCGCAGCGAAAGCGAGUCUGAAUAGGGCGAAUGAGUAUGUAGUCGUAGACCCGAAACCAUGUGAUCUACCCAUGUCCAGGUUGAAGGUGCGGUAAAACGCACUGGAGGACCGAACCCACGUACGUUGAAAAGUGCGGGGAUGAGGUGUGGGUAGCGGAGAAAUUCCAAACGAACUUGGAGAUAGCUGGUUCUCUCCGAAAUAGCUUUAGGGCUAGCCUCGGAAUUGAGAAUGAUGGAGGUAGAGCACUGUUUGGACUAGGGGCCCAUCUCGGGUUACCGAAUUCAGAUAAACUCCGAAUGCCAUUCAUUUAUAUCCGGGAGUCAGACUGCGAGUGAUAAGAUCCGUAGUCGAAAGGGAAACAGCCCAGACCACCAGCUAAGGUCCCAAAAUAUAUGUUAAGUGGAAAAGGAUGUGGGGUUGCACAGACAACUAGGAUGUUGGCUUAGAAGCAGCCACCAUUUAAAGAGUGCGUAAUAGCUCACUAGUCGAGUGACCCUGCGCCGAAAAUGUACCGGGGCUAAACAUAUUACCGAAGCUGUGGACUACACCAUUAGGUGUAGUGGUAGGAGAGCGUUCUAAGGGCGUUGAAGGUCGAUCGUGAGGACGGCUGGAGCGCUUAGAAGUGAGAAUGCCGGUAUGAGUAGCGAAAGACAGGUGAGAAUCCUGUCCACCGUAUGACUAAGGUUUCCUGGGGAAGGCUCGUCCGCCCAGGGUUAGUCGGGACCUAAGCCGAGGCCGAUAGGCGUAGGCGAUGGACAACAGGUUGAUAUUCCUGUACCAGUUGUUUUUGUUUGAGCAAUGGAGGGACGCAGUAGGCUAAGGAAUGCAUGCGAUUGGAAGUGCAUG